UACGAACUGUGCGAACGUUAUUCGGAAUCACUGGGCUUACAGGGUGCGUAGGCGGCUUAGCAAGUCAGGUGUGAAAGCCCCCGGCUCAACCGGGGAACGUGCGCUUGGAACUGCUGAGCUCGAGUCAGCUAGAGGUACACGGAACUUCCAGUGGAGCGGUGAAAUGUGUUGAUAUUGGAAGGAACACCGGAGGCGAAAGCGGUGUACUGGGGCUGGUCUGACGCUGAGGCACGAAAGCCAGGGGAGCGAACGGG
rnacentral:rRNA from 1 species